rnacentral:rRNA from 1 species
UACGGGGGGAGCAAGCGUUGUUCGGAAUCACUGGGCGUAAAGGGAGUCUAGGCGGUUUGGUAAGUGGGAUGUGAAAUCCCCGGGCUCACCCCGGGACCUGCAUCCCAAACUGCUGAGCUUGAGUACAGGAGAGGGUGGGGGAAUUCCAGGUGUAGCGGUGAAAUGCGUAGAUAUCAGGAGGAACACCAAUAGCGAAGGCAGCUCGCUGGGACGUUACUGACACUGAGGCGCGAAAGCGUGGGGAGCGAACAGG